AAAUUGAAGAGUUUGAUCAUGGCUCAGAUUGAACGCUGGCGGCAGGCCUAACACAUGCAAGUCGAACGGUAACAGGAAGCGCUUGCUGCUUCGCUGACGAGUGGCGGACGGGUGAGUAAUGUCUGGGAAACUGCCUGAUGGAGGGGGAUAACUACUGGAAACGGUAGCUAAUACCGCAUAACGUCGCAAGACCAAAGAGGGGGACCUUCGGGCCUCUUGCCAUCGGAUGUGCCCAGAUGGGAUUAGCUUGUUGGUGGGGUAACGGCUCACCAAGGCGACGAUCCCUAGCUGGUCUGAGAGGAUGACCAGCCACACUGGAACUGAGACACGGUCCAGACUCCUACGGGAGGCAGCAGUGGGGAAUAUUGCACAAUGGGCGCAAGCCUGAUGCAGCCAUGC
rnacentral:rRNA from 1 species